rnacentral:rRNA from 1 species
CAGCACCUCAAGUGGUCAGGAUGAUUAUUGGGCCUAAAGCAUCCGUAGCCGGCGCUGUAAGUUUUCGGUUAAAUCUGUACGCUCAACGUACAGGCUGCCGGGAAUACUGCAGCGCUAGGGAGUGGGAGAGGUAGACGGUACUCGGUAGGAAGGGGUAAAAUCCUUUGAUCUAUUGAUGACCACCUGUGGCGAAGGCGGUCUACCAGAACACGUCCGACGGUGAGGGAUGGAAGCUGGGGGAGCAAACCGGAUUAGAUACCCGAGUAGUCC